CCUACGGGCGGCAGCAGUGGGGAAUAUUGCACAAUGGGGGAAACCCUGAUGCAGCGACGCCGCGUGAGUGAAGAAGUAUUUCGGUAUGUAAAGCUCUAUCAGCAGGGAAGAAGAAAGACGGUACCUGUCAAAGGAGCCUCGGCUAACUACGUGCCAGCAGCCGCGGUAAUACGUAGGGGGCAAGCGUUAUCCGGAUUUACUGGGCGUAAAGGGAGCGUAGACGGCAGGGCAAGUCUGAAGUGAAAGCCCAGGGCUCAACCCUGGGACUGCUUUGGAAACUGUGGAGCUGGAGUGCUGGAGAGGUGAGUGGAAUUCCUAGUGUAGCGGUGAAAUGCGUAGAUAUUAGGAGGAACACCAGUGGCGAAGGCGGCUUACUGGACAGUAACUGACGUUGAGGCUCGAAAGCGUGGGGAGCAAACAGGAUUAGAUACCCCAGUAGUC
rnacentral:rRNA from 1 species